AGCAUUGGACGGACCGAUUGAUACGCCCGUCUCUCGGCUGUCGGACGGUAUCGUUCGACGUACGUUGCGAAGGACUUCAACUAUUGAAGGAAGAUGGAGACGAUGGACCAUCAGUGUCACUCUGUGACUGAAGGAGACUAUUAGAUGGCUACUGACGAGAGACUUACCCCUGGUCCUAACCUUCAAGCCUCCUCCGAAGACCUUCUUUUUGCGAAUCGGCGAUCAGCUGAGCACCUGUCGUUGUGGUGGACUCUGGUCGAGAAACCCCAGCCAUUGGCUAAACUCGAGCCUUUGUCCAUAUUUGGGCUGUCUUGCUGGCUACAAAACCAAAGCUGGAGGUUAACUCAUGUAACCUCUCACAAUAAAUAAAAAAAGGUUGGGUAUACUCUCA